AUUGAACGCUGGCGGCAGGCCUAACACAUGCAAGUCGAGCGGAUGACGGGAGCUCGCUCCUUGAUUCAGCGGCGGACGGGUGAGUAAUGCCUAGGAAUCUGCCUGGUAAUGGGGGACAACGUUUCGAAAGGAACGCUAAUACCGCAUACGUCCUACGGGAGAAAGCAGGGGACCUUCGGGCCUUGCGCUAUCAGAUGAGCCUAGGUCGGAUUAGCUAGUUGGUGGGGUAAUGGCUCACCAAGGCGACGAUCCGUAACUGGUCUGAGAGGAUGAUCAGUCACACUGGAACUGAGACACGGUCCAGACUCCUACGGGAGGCAGCAGUGGGGAAUAUUGGACAAUGGGCGAAAGCCUGAUCCAGCCAUGCCGCGUGUGUGAAGAAGGUCUUCGGAUUGUAAAGCACUUUAAGUUGGGAGGAAGGGCAGUAAGCUAAUACCUUGCUGUUUUGACGUUACCGACAGAAUAAGCACCGGCUAACUCUGUGCCAGCCGCCGCCGUAA
rnacentral:rRNA from 1 species